GCCGCCGUAGCUCAGCCUGGUAGUACUCAUUCCAAAAGCAGCAGACUGUUAAUCUGUUGGUCGUCCGUCCAAGUCGGACCAGCGGCG
rnacentral:tRNA from 1 species